rnacentral:rRNA from 1 species
AUUGAACGCUGGCGGCAGGCCUAAUACAUGCAAGUCGAGCGGAUGAAGGGAGCUUGCUCCUGGAUUCAGCGGCGGACGGGUGAGUAAUGCCUAGGAAUCUGCCUGGUAGUGGGGGAUAACGUCCGGAAACGGGCGCUAAUACCGCAUACGUCCUGAGGGAGAAAGUGGGGGAUCUUCGGACCUCACGCUAUCAGAUGAGCCUAGGUCGGAUUAGCUAGUUGGUGGGGUAAAGGCCUACCAAGGCGACGAUCCGUAACUGGUCUGAGAGGAUGAUCAGUCACACUGGAACUGAGACACGGCCCAGACUCCUACGGGAGGCAGCAGUGGGGAAUAUUGGACAAUGGGCGAAAGCCUGAUCCAGCCAUGCCGCGUGUGUGAAGAAGGUCUUCGGAUUGUAAAGCACUUUAAGUUGGGAGGAAGGGCAGUAAGUUAAUACCUUGCUGUUUUGACGUUACCAACAGAAUAAGCACCGGCUAACUUCGUG